rnacentral:rRNA from 1 species
AACGAACGCUGGCGGCAUGCCUAACACAUGCAAGUCGAACGAGCCCUUCGGGUCUAGUGGCGCAAGGGUGCGUACCGCGUGGGAACAUGCCCUUAGGUACGGAAUAAUACCCUGCAUGGGGUGCUAAUACCGGAUAAUGUCUUCAGACCAAAGAUGUAUCGCCUUUGGAUGGGCCCGCGUUGGAUUAGCAAGUUGGUAGGGUAAAAGCCUACCAAGGCGACGAUCCAUAGCUGGCCUGAAAGGAUGAUCAGCCACACUGGGACUGAGACACGUCCCAGACUCCUACGGGAGGCAGCAGUGGUGAAUAUUGGACAAUGGGCGAAAGACUGAUCCAGCAAUGCCGCGUGAGUGAUGAAGGCCUGAGGGUUGUAAAGCUCUUUUACCCGGUAUGAUAAUGACAGUACCGGGAGAAUAAGCUCCGGCUAACUCCGUG